rnacentral:rRNA from 1 species
CCUCGGGAAACUGAGGAUAAACCGCGAUAGGCCAAGGUUUCUGGAAUGAGCCAUGGCCGAAAUCUAUAUGGCCUUUGGAUUGGACUGCGGCCGAUCAGGCUGUUGGUGAGGUAAUGGCCCACCAAACCUGUAACCGGUACGGGCUUUGAGAGAAGGAGCCCGGAGAUGGGCACUGAGACAAGGGCCCAGGCCCUAUGGGGCGCAGCAGGCGCGAAACCUCUGCAAUAGGCGAAAGCUUGACAGGGUUACUCUGAGUGAUGCCCGCUAAGGGUAUCUUUUGGCACCCUCUAAAAUGGUGCAGAAUAAGGGGUGGGCAAGUCUGGUGUCAG